CAAUAGCUCUGGGCAUUUGGGUA
rnacentral:siRNA from 1 species